rnacentral:tRNA from 1 species
GCGAGUAAGGUGUUACGGUAGCAUUUCUGGCUUCCAUCCAGACGGCGUGGGUUCAACUCCCGCUACUCGCU